GGACUGUAGCUCAGUGGUAGAGCACUUGCCUAGCAUGUGUGAGGCGCUGGGCUCAAUCCUCAGCACCA
rnacentral:tRNA from 1 species